AAUCAACGCUGGCGGCGCGCCUAACACAUGCAAGUCGAACGCGAAAGUCCCGCAAGGGAUAAGUAGAGUGGCAAACGGGUGAGUAACACGUGGGUGACCUGCCUUCGAGUGGGGGAUAACGUCCCGAAAGGGACGCUAAUACCGCAUAACAUCCUGCCUUUUAAGAGGUGGAGAUCAAAGCUGGGGACCGCAAAGGCCUGGCGCUGGAAGAGGGGCCCGCGUCUGAUUAGCUAGUUGGUGAGGUAACGGCUCACCAAGGCAACGAUCAGUAUCCGGCCUGAGAGGGCGGACGGACACACUGGGACUGAGACACGGCCCAGACUCCUACGGGAGGCAGCAGUGGGGAAUUGUUCGCAAUGGGCGCAAGCCUGACGACGCAACGCCGCGUGGAGGAUGAAGACCU
rnacentral:rRNA from 1 species